AACGUAGGUGGCAAGCGUUAUCCGGAUUCACUGGGCGUAAAGCGCGUGCAGGUGGCUUCGUAAGUUGGACGUUAAAUCUCCCGGCCUAACCGGGAGGAGUCGUUCAAUACUGCGGGGCUGGAGGGCAGAAGAGGGGGGUGGAAUUGCUGGUGUAGUGGUGAAAUGCGUAGAUAUCAGCAGGAACACCUGUGGCGAAAGCGGCCCCCUGGUCUGCUCCUGACACUCAGACGCGAAAGCUAGGGGAG
rnacentral:rRNA from 1 species